CAGCCGCCGCGGGAAUACGUAGGUCCCGAGCGUUGUCCGGAUUUAUUGGGCGUAAAGCGAGCGCAGGCGGUUAGAUAAGUCUGAAGUUAAAGGCUGUGGCUUAACCAUAGUACGCUUUGGAAACUGUUUAACUUGAGUGCAAGAGGGGAGAGUGGAAUUCCAUGUGUAGCGGUGAAAUGCGUAGAUAUAUGGAGGAACACCGGUGGCGAAAGCGGCUCUCUGGCUUGUAACUGACGCUGAGGCUCGAAAGCGUGGGGAGCAAACAGGAUUAGAUACCCCCGUAGUCCCUGUCUCUUAUACC
rnacentral:rRNA from 1 species